CAGCAGCCACGGUAAUACAGAGGGUGCAAGCGUUAAUCGGAAUUACUGGGCGUAAAGCGCGCGUAGGUGGUUUGUUAAGUUGGAUGUGAAAGCCCCGUGCUCAACCUGGGAACUGCAUCCAAAACUGGCAAGCUAGAGUACGGUAGAGGGUGGUGGAAUUUCCUGUGUAGCGGUGAAAUGCGUAGAUAUAGUAAGGAACACCAGUGGCGAAGGCGACCACCUGGGCUCAUACUGACACUGAGGUGCGAAAGCGUGGGGAGCAAACAGGAUUAGAUACCCGCGUAGUCCCUGUCUCUUAUAC
rnacentral:rRNA from 1 species